rnacentral:rRNA from 1 species
AGGAUGCUUUUGGCGCGGUGCCUUCCGAGUUCCCUGGAACGGGACGCCAUAGAGGGUGAGAGCCCCGUCUGGUCGGACGCCUAGCCUAUGUAAAGCUCCUUCGACGAGUCGAGUAGUUUGGGAAUGCUGCUCUAAAUGGGAGGUAUAUGUCUUCUAAAGCUAAAUAUUGGCCAGAGACCGAUAGCGCACAAGUAGAGUGAUCGAAAGAUGAAAAGCACUUUGAAAAGAGGGUUAAAUAGUACGUGAAAUUGUUGAAAGGGAAGCGCUUAUGACCAGACUUGGGCCCGGUGGAUCAUCCAGCGUUCUCGCUGGUGCACUCCGCCGGGUUCAGGCCAGCAUCAGUUCGCCGCGGGGGAAAAAGGCUUCGGGAACGUGGCUCCUACGGGAGUGUUAUAGCCCGUUGCAUAAUACCCUGGGGCGGACUGAGGUUCGCGC